AUUGAACGCUGGCGGCAUGCUUUACACAUGCAAGUCGAACGGUAACAGGUCUUUCGGGAUGCUGACGAGUGGCGAACGGGUGAGUAAUGUAUCGGAACGUGCCCAGUAGUGGGGGAUAACUACUCGAAAGAGUGGCUAAUACCGCAUGAGAUCUCUGGAUGAAAGCGGGGGACCGUAAGGCCUCGCGCUACUGGAGCGGCCGAUAUCAGAUUAGGUAGUUGGUAGGGUAAGAGCCUACCAAGCCAACGAUCUGUAGCUGGUCUGAGAGGACGACCAGCCACACUGGGACUGAGACACGGCCCAGACUCCUACGGGAGGCAGCAGUGGGGAAUUUUGGACAAUGGGCGCAAGCCUGAUCCAGCAAUGCCGCGUGCAGGACGAAGGCCUUCGGGUUGUAAACUGCUUUUGUACGGAACGAAAAGCCUCUGGUUAAUACCUAGGGGUCAUGACGGUACCGUAAGAAUAAGCACCGGCUAACUACGUG
rnacentral:rRNA from 1 species